rnacentral:tRNA from 1 species
AAAAAUUUAGUUAAAAGAAUAACGUUAGUUUGUCAAACUAAAAUUAUUAAAUAUAAUAAUUUUUA